UUCCCUUCUCAUAAACCGCACCGUUGGCCCCCCAACCCCAUCAAAUCCUCCCGCUUCUUUCGCUCUAGUGCUCUCUCCCUUGUUCUCUCCUAAUUUCUAUAUCUUGGGCACUAGCAAUGGCAGGAACUUCAUCGAGGAGUCGCCCUCCGGGGGCGCGGAAGAGAGUGGAGGCCUAGACUAAUACGCUGAAGCGUGCCAGGGAUUGGAGCGCGUUCACCAGAUGCUCUGAUUUGACUGCCGUGAAGCAUGUAACAAAGAUGUUCCAGUGGUUCUCAUUGGCAUGCAUAGUUGCAGCCUUGAUUCUAAGAUCAGAAUGAGCUUAGAGGCUCAGGCUGUUGAGAAAACAGCUGAGGUUAAGAAGCCUGCUGAAAGGUACAUUCUUACAUGGGCAACCCUUGUUUCGGUUUAGAAUGUGUGCUUAAUGGCCACCGAUAUCAUCUAA